rnacentral:rRNA from 1 species
UACGUAGGGGGCUAGCGUUGUCCGGAAUCAUUGGGCGUAAAGCGCGCGUAGGCGGCCAGAUAAGUCCGGCGUGAAAGUCACAGGCUCAACCUGUGAAUGCCGCUGGAAACUGUCUGGCUAGAGUCCGGAAGGGGCGAGUGGAAUUCCUGGUGUAGCGGUGAAAUGCGCAGAUAUCAGGAGGAACACCAAUGGCGAAGGCAGCUCGCUGGAACGGUACUGACGCUGAGGCGCGAAAGCGUGGGGAGCGAACAGG